UCACGUUUUACAGAUUCUGAUUUAAAGGGGUAAUCUGCAGUUGUGUUCACGUUUUACAGAUUCUGACUUAAAGGGGUAAUCUGCAGUUGUGUUCACAUUUUACAGAUUCUGACUUAAAGGGGUAAUCUGCAGUUGUGUUCACGUUUUACAGAUUCUGACUUAAAGGGGUAAUCUGCAGUUGUGUUCACGUUUUACAGAUUAUGAUUUAAGGCAGCCCCCAGGUAGAGACCCUGUCCCCCGUCCACCAGGUAGAGAUCCUGACCCCAGGUAGAGACCCUGUCCCCCAGGCAGCCCCCAGGUAGAGACCCUGUCUCCCAGGUAGAGACCCUGGCUCCCAGGUAGAGACCCUGUCCCCCAGGCAGCCCCCAGGUAGAGACCCUGAUCCCCAGGUAGAGACCCUGUCCCCCAGGCAGCCCCCAAGUAGAGACCCUUUCCCCCAGGUAGAGACCCUGAUUCCCAGGUAGAGACCCUGUCCCCCAGGCAGCCCCCAGGUAGAGACCCUGUCCCCCAGGUAGAGACCCUGGCUCCCAGGUAGAGACCCUGUCCCCCAGGCAGCCCCCAGGUAGAGACCCUGGCUCCCAGGUAGAGACCCUGAUCCCCAGGUAGAGACCCUGUCCCCCAGGCAGUCCCCAGGUAGAGACCCUGUCUCCCAGGUAGAGACCCUGAUCCCCAGGUAGAGACCCUGUCCCCCAAGUAGAGACCCUGAUCCCCAGGUAGAGACCCUGUCCCCCAGGCAGCCCCCAGGUAGAGACCCUGUCCCCCAAGUAGAGACCCUGAUCCCCAGGUAGAGACCCUGUCCCCCAGGCAGCCCCCAGGUAGAGACCCUGUCUCCCAGGUAGAGACCCUGAUCCCCAGGUAGAGACCCUGAUCCCCAGGUAGAGACCCUGUCCCCCAGGCAGCCCCCAGGUAGAGACCCUGUCUCCCAGGUAGAGACCCUGUCUCCCAGGUAGAGACCCUGAUCCCCAGGUAGAGACCCUGAUCCCCAGGUAGAGACCCUGUCCCCCAGGCAGCCCCCAGGUAGAGACCCUGUCCCCCAGGUAGAGACCCUGUCCCCCAGGUAGAGACCCUGAUCCCCAGGUAGAGACCCUGUCCCCCAGGUAGAGACCCUGUCCCCCAGGCAGCCCCCAGGUAGAGACCCUGAACCCCAGGUAGUGACCCUGUCCCCCAGGCAGCCCCCAGGUAGAGACCCUGUUCCCCAGGUAGAGACCCUGAUCCCCAGGUAGAGACCCUGUCCCCCAGGUAGAGACCCUGAUCCCCAGGCAGCCCCCAGGUAGAGACCCUGUCCCCCAGGCAGCUCCCAGGUAGAGACCCUGUCCCCCAGGUAGAGACCCUGUCCCCCAGGCAGCUCCCAGGUAGAGACCCUGUCCCCCAGGUAGAGAUCCUGUCCCCCAGGUAGAGAUGCUGUCCCCCAGGUAGAGACCCUGUCCCCCAGGUAGAGACCCUGUCCCCCAGGUAGAGACCCUGAUUCCCAGGUAGAGACCCUGUCCCCCAGGCAGCCCCCAGGUAGAGACCCUGUCCCCCAGGUAGAGACCCUGGCUCCCAGGUAGAGACCCUGUCCCCCAGGCAGCCCCCAGGUAGAGACCCUGAUCCCCAGGUAGAGACCCUGUCCCCCAGGCAGCCCCCAGGUAGAGACCCUGUCCCCCAGGUAGAGACCCUGAUUCCCAGGUAGAGACCCUGUCCCCCAGGCAGCCCCCAGGUAGAGACCCUGUCCCCCAGGUAGAGACCCUGGCUCCCAGGUAGAGACCCUGUCCCCCAGGCAGCCCCCAGGUAGAGACCCUGGCUCCCAGGUAGAGACCCUGAUCCCCAGGUAGAGACCCUGUCCCCCAAGUAGAGACCCUGAUCCCCAGGUAGAGACCCUGUCCCCCAGGCAGCCCCCAGGUAGAGACCCUGUCCCCCAAGUAGAGACCCUGAUCCCCAGGUAGAGACCCUGUCCCCCAGGCAGCCCCCAGGUAGAGACCCUGUCUCCCAGGUAGAGACCCUGAUCCCCAGGUAGAGACCCUGAUCCCCAGGUAGAGACCCUGUCCCCCAGGCAGCCCCCAGGUAGAGACCCUGUCCCCCAGGCAGCCCCCAGGUAGAGACCCUGUCUCCCAGGUAGAGACCCUGAUCCCCAGGUAGAGACCCUGAUCCCCAGGUAGAGACCCUGUCCCCCAGGCAGCCCCCAGGUAGAGACCCUGUCCCCCAGGUAGAGACCCUGAUCCCCAGGUAGAGACCCUGUCCCCCAGGUAGAGACCCUGUCCCCCAGGCAGCCCCCAGGUAGAGACCCUGUCCCCCAGGCAGCCCCCAGGUAGAGACCCUGUCCCCCAGGUAGAGACCCUGAUCCCCAGGUAGAGACCCUGUCCCCCAGGUAGAGACCCUGAUCCCCAGGCAGCCCCCAGGUAGAGACCCUGUCCCCCAGGCAGCUCCCAGGUAGAGACCCUGUCCCCCAGGUAGAGACCCUGUCCCCCAGGCAGCUCCCAGGUAGAGACCCUGUCCCCCAGGUAGAGAUCCUGUUCCCCAGGUAGAGAUGCUGUCCCCCAGGUAGAGACCCUGUCCCCCAGGUAGAGACCCUGUCCCCCAGGUAGAGACCCUGAUUCCCAGGUAGAGACCCUGUCCCCCAGGCAGCCCCCAGGUAGAGACCCUGUCCCCCAGGUAGAGACCCUGUCCCCCAGGCAGCCCCCAGGUAGAGACCCUGUCCCCCAGGUAGAGACCCUGGCUCCCAGGUAGAGACCCUGUCCCCCAGGCAGCCCCCAGGUAGAGACCCUGGCUCCCAGGUAGAGACCCUGAUCCCCAGGUAGAGACCCUGUCCCCCAGGCAGCCCCCAGGUAGAGACCCUGUCUCCCAGGUAGAGACCCUGAUCCCCAGGUAGAGACCCUGUCUCCCAGGUAGAGACCCUGAUCCCCAGGUAGAGACCCUGUCCCCCAGGUAGAGACCCUGUCCCCCAGGCAGCCCCCAGGUAGAGACCCUGUCCCCCAGGCAGCUCCCAGGUAGAGACCCUGUCCCCCAGGUAGAGAUCCUGUUCCCCAGGUAGAGAUGCUGUCCCCCAGGUAGAGAUGCUGUCCCCCAGGUAGAGACCCUGUCCCCCAGGUAGAGACCCUGUCCCCCAGGUAGAGACCCUGAUUCCCAGGUAGAGACCCUGUCCCCCAGGCAGCCCCCAGGUAGAGACCCUGUCCCCCAGGUAGAGACCCUGUCCCCCAGGCAGCCCCCAGGUAGAGACCCUGUCCCCCAGGUAGAGACCCUGUCCCCCAGGCAGCCCCCAGGUAGAGACCCUGUCCCCCAGGUAGAGACCCUGGCUCCCAGGUAGAGACCCUGUCCCCCAGGCAGCCCCCAGGUAGAGACCCUGGCUCCCAGGUAGAGACCCUGAUCCCCAGGUAGAGACCCUGUCCCCCAGGCAGCCCCCAGGUAGAGACCCUGUCUCCCAGGUAGAGACCCUGAUCCCCAGGUAGAGACCCUGUCCCCCAAGUAGAGACCCUGAUCCCCAGGUAGAGACCCUGUCCCCCAAGUAGAGACCCUGAUCCCCAGGUAGAGACCCUGUCCCCCAGGCAGCCCCCAGGUAGAGACCCUGUCCCCCAAGUAGAGACCCUGAUCCCCAGGUAGAGACCCUGUCCCCCAGGCAGCCCCCAGGUAGAGACCCUGUCUCCCAGGUAGAGACCCUGAUCCCCAGGUAGAGACCCUGAUCCCCAGGUAGAGACCCUGUCCCCCAGGCAGCCCCCAGGUAGAGACCCUGUCCCCCAGGCAGCCCCCAGGUAGAGACCCUGUCUCCCAGGUAGAGACCCUGAUCCCCAGGUAGAGACCCUGAUCCCCAGGUAGAGACCCUGUCCCCCAGGCAGCCCCCAGGUAGAGACCCUGUCCCCCAGGUAGAGACCCUGAUCCCCAGGUAGAGACCCUGUCCCCCAGGUAGAGACCCUGUCCCCCAGGCAGCCCCCAGGUAGAGACCCUGUCCCCCAGGCAGCCCCCAGGUAGAGACCCUGUCCCCCAGGUAGAGACCCUGAUCCCCAGGUAGAGACCCUGUCCCCCAGGUAGAGACCCUGAUCCCCAGGCAGCCCCCAGGUAGAGACCCUGUCCCCCAGGCAGCUCCCAGGUAGAGACCCUGUCCCCCAGGUAGAGACCCUGUCCCCCAGGCAGCUCCCAGGUAGAGACCCUGUCCCCCAGGUAGAGAUCCUGUUCCCCAGGUAGAGAUGCUGUCCCCCAGGUAGAGACCCUGUCCCCCAGGUAGAGACCCUGUCCCCCAGGUAGAGACCCUGAUUCCCAGGUAGAGACCCUGUCCCCCAGGCAGCCCCCAGGUAGAGACCCUGUCCCCCAGGUAGAGACCCUGUCCCCCAGGCAGCCCCCAGGUAGAGACCCUGUCCCCCAGGUAGAGACCCUGGCUCCCAGGUAGAGACCCUGUCCCCCAGGCAGCCCCCAGGUAGAGACCCUGGCUCCCAGGUAGAGACCCUGAUCCCCAGGUAGAGACCCUGUCCCCCAGGCAGCCCCCAGGUAGAGACCCUGUCUCCCAGGUAGAGACCCUGAUCCCCAGGUAGAGACCCUGUCUCCCAGGUAGAGACCCUGAUCCCCAGGUAGAGACCCUGUCCCCCAGGUAGAGACCCUGAUCCCCAGGCAGCCCCCAGGUAGAGACCCUGUCCCCCAGGCAGCUCCCAGGUAGAGACCCUGUCCCCCAGGUAGAGAUCCUGUUCCCCAGGUAGAGAUGCUGUCCCCCAGGUAGAGAUGCUGUCCCCCAGGUAGAGACCCUGUCCCCCAGGUAGAGACCCUGUCCCCCAGGUAGAGACCCUGAUUCCCAGGUAGAGACCCUGUCCCCCAGGCAGCCCCCAGGUAGAGACCCUGUCCCCCAGGUAGAGACCCUGUCCCCCAGGCAGCCCCCAGGUAGAGACCCUGUCCCCCAGGUAGAGACCCUGUCCCCCAGGCAGCCCCCAGGUAGAGACCCUGUCCCCCAGGUAGAGACCCUGGCUCCCAGGUAGAGACCCUGUCCCCCAGGCAGCCCCCAGGUAGAGACCCUGGCUCCCAGGUAGAGACCCUGAUCCCCAGGUAGAGACCCUGUCCCCCAGGCAGCCCCCAGGUAGAGACCCUGUCUCCCAGGUAGAGACCCUGAUCCCCAGGUAGAGACCCUGUCCCCCAAGUAGAGACCCUGAUCCCCAGGUAGAGACCCUGUCCCCCAGGCAGCCCCCAGGUAGAGACCCUGUCCCCCAGGUAGAGACCCUGAUCCCCAGGUAGAGACCCUGUCCCCCAGGCAGCCCCCAGGUAGAGACCCUGUCUCCCAGGUAGAGACCCUGAUCCCCAGGUAGAGACCCUGUCUCCCAGGUAGAGACCCUGAUCCCCAGGUAGAGACCCUGUCCCCCAAGUAGAGACCCUGAUCCCCAGGUAGAGACCCUGUCCCCCAGGCAGCCCCCAGGUAGAGACCCUGUCCCCCAGGUAGAGACCCUGUCCCCCAGGUAGAGACCCUGAUCCCCAGGUAGAGACCCUGUCCCCCAGGCAGCUCCCAGGUAGAGACCCUGAUCCCCAGGUAGAGACCCUGUCCCCCAGGCAGCCCCCAGGUAGAGACCCUGUCCCCCGUCCCCCAGGAAAAGACCUUGGCCCCAAGGUAGCGACCCUGUCUCCCAGGUAGAGACCCUGGCUCCCAGGUAGAUACCCUGAUCUCCAGGUAGAGACCCUGUCCCCCAGGCAGCCCCCAGGUAGAGACCCUGUCCCCCAGGCAGCUCCCAGGUAGAGACCCUGAUGCCCAGGUAGAGACCCUGACCCCCAGGUAGAGACUGACCCCCAGGUAGAGACCCUGACCCCCAGGUAGAGACGCUGACCCCCAGGUCAGGAAGCCCCCAGGUUAAGACCCUGCCCCCCAGGAACCCCCCAGGCAGAGAACCUGGCCCCCAGGCAGACCCCAGGAAGAGACCUUGGCCCCCAGGCAGAGCCCCCAGUAUUGGGAUAAGAGCUGAUAUGGGCCCAGUCAGAACAAAGAAAACAUACAGCCCAGCUCUCUGAACUCCUGAGUCCCACAUUCCCAACCCUUCAGAGCAGGGAACCAUUAAUCAAUCAAACAAUCUAACAUGGUACUGUUUACCUACGUGUUCAGAACACCACCCUGGCAGUACCGUGUGUGUGUGUGUGUUGGCAUGCGUGUGUGUAAUCGAUGCAUGUCUCUGUGGUACGAGCCGUCAGUGGUGAGAUCUUCAUUGAAAAGGUCACACUGUUCACACUUUGAAGACAGACUUGUAAAGAAAACAUCACGGUUAAAGACAUGCUCUGGUACUUUGGUGAAUAAGAAAGUAUUUUGUAACCCUCCCACUUUGGACUGGAUGUGUCAAAGUGUAGUUCAUAAAUGCAUAAUCUAUGAGCAGAAUUACUGUCUUGCCUCAAUUAGCCAGAAAUUCCUAGUUUGAAGCUGUGCCAAGCCAUUUUCCUGACAUUUCCCCCCCCCCCCCCCCGUGGGCCAGCCUCCUAGCAAUUUGAGUUCUAGCCAAUAAGCUUCAGCCCCUCACAUUUGAGUGACAGCUAGCAAGAGGCGUGCCUAGUUAUUCAAUGAGGUUGGAGGGUGGGCCCAACGGCUCAGUGGACACAGCAGAGAAAGAGCGCGCGCGAGAGAGAGAGAGAGAGAGAGAGAGAGAGAGAGAGAGAGAGCAAUGACGUGGUGCACAUAUCUGCAUGUACUGUAUGUGACUUAGUACGCAGUUUUCAUGGACCACUUAUGGCUCUUUGAAUGUUACUUUCGGAACUACUGGCAAAAAAGUAUACAAAACUACCGGAGAAUCUCUUUAAACAGCUGAGGUCGGCCCAUAGGGUUAGACAGAUGGCACAUAUUUGCAUCGUUGCCAUAAUGGCUUCUGUGACUGAAAAAGUCCCACCAAGUUGACUACUUCAAAAGGUGUAACUCCUCAAUGGUGAUGUCGAUGCUAAAAUAGGAUUUGUGGCAAGUGGGCCCUCUAUAAAACUCUAUGGCCUGGCCUAUAAUUGAAUGAUACUGGUUACGGAUAGAGGGGCCGAGGCAUGUUGGUCUUGUUUCAACUCUGGUACCUACAGGUAGAAUAUGAUACCAUUCCAACUUAUGCCUAGACCCUGUAGUUGUGGCUAUGGAGACCCUGUGGUUGUGGCUAUGGAGACCCUGUGGUUGUGGCUAUGGAGACCCUGUGGUUGUGGCUAUGGAGACCCUGUGGUUGUGGCUAUGGAGACCCUGUGGUUGUGGCUAUGGAGACCCUGUGGUUGUGUCUAUGGAGACCCUGUAGUUGUGUCUAUGGAGACCCUGUGGUUGUGUCUAUGGAGACCCUGUGGUUGUGUCUAUGGAGACCCUGUAGUUGUGGCUAUGGAGACCCUGUGGUUGUGUCUAUGGAGACCCUGUAGUUGUGGCUAUGGAGACCUUGUGGUUGUGUCUAUGGAGACCCUGUAGUUGUGGCUAUGGAGACCCUGUGGUUGUGGCUAUGGAGACCCUGUGGUUGUGUCUAUGGAGACCCUGUGGUUGUGGCUAUGGAGACCCUGUGGUUGUGUCUAUGGAGACCCUGUAGUUGUGUCUAUGGAGACCCUGUGGUUGUGUCUAUGGAGACCCUGUGGUUGUGUCUAUGGAGACCCUGUGGUUGUGGCUAUGGGGACCCUGUGGUUGUGUCUAUGGAGACCCUGUGGUUGUGUCUAUGGAGACCCUGUGGUUGUGUCUAUGGAGACCCUGUAGUUGUGUCUUUGGAGACCCUGUGGUUGUGUCUAUGGAGACCCUGUAGUUGUGGCUAUGGAGACCCUGUAGUUGUGGCUAUGGAGACCUUGUGGUUGUGGCUAUGGAGACCCUGUGGUUGUGUCUAUGGAGACCCUGUGGUUGUGUCUAUGGAGACCCUGUGGUUGUGGCUAUGGAGACCCUGUGGUUGUGGCUAUGGAGACCCUGUGGUUGUGUCUAUGGAGACCCUGUGGUUGUGUCUAUGGAGACCCUGUGGUUGUGUCUAUGGAGACCCUGUGGUUGUGGCUAUGGAGACCCUGUGGUUGUGUCUAUGGAGACCCUGUGGUUGUGGCUAUGGAGACCCUGUGGUUGUGGCUAUGGAGACCCUGUGGUUGUGGCCAUGGAGACUGUGAAUAUACCAUACAGGUGCAGUGGGGAUGACACUUGUUAAAAAGGAGGCUUGACCUCAAGUGUGGGAUCACAUUUCAAAGUCCUGACCCCUUUCCGUUGGUGUGUGUUUGUGUGUGUGUUGAAUAGAGGCCUCAGUCCUGGCUCUCCAGACAGCCAAUGGGGUUUGAAUGGUGCUAACUUACGACAUAAUUCACUACUGUGGAAUGCAGCCUUGUUUCACGUUCUCUGUAUUGUAUGUUUCUGUUGUUGUUGUUGUUGCUGUGUUCACAUAUGUAAUUGUGGAUUAACAUUUUUUGGGGUGAUUAUUUAAUACAGAAAAGUAGCUGCUUUUUUAUGAGUAAUUGUUGCAACUUGCUUCAACUGCUAUGUUACUGAUAUAGUGCAAAUAUGCUUAAAUAUUCCUGUACUGUACGUUAUUGUAGUUGCACAUAUGUUUGGUACAUAAACUGCCACUACAUGUAUUUCAUGGUGCUGAUUCAGUUUAAAAUAUGUUUUGAACUGUUAAUACUUAAAUAAAUGAAUGUGUUGUUUUACAGGGAUUUAACCAUUUUAGUUUUUUUGUUAAUGUGCCUUAUAGUCAUUCUAUACCUGUACUGUUAUACAGUGAUACUCCAAGAUUCACAAACAAAUGUGACCUUAACAGAAAUCUGAGUACAAAUCGGAAUGAUUGGAAAUAUAUAUAUUUUUAAAGUCUACUGUAAGUUGAUUCGUUUUAUUUUUGACAUAAUAAAAUGUGAUUUUACAUGGAGACUAAUACGA